rnacentral:rRNA from 1 species
GGUUAAGUGACUAAGCGUACACGGUGGAUGCCUUGGCAGUCAGAGGCGAUGAAGGACGUAUUAACUUGCGAUAAGCCCAGAUUAGGUAGUAAAAACCAUUUGAGUCUGGGAUUUCCGAAUGGGGAAACCCAAUACCAUAAGGUAUUACUGUUGAGUGAAUACAUAGCUCAACAGGGCGAACCGGGGGAACUGAAACAUCUAAGUACCCCGAGGAAAAGAAAUCAACCGAGAUUCCGAAAGUAGCGGCGAGCGAAAUUGGACUAGCCCUUAAGCUUUACACGCGUUAGACGAACAGCCUGGAAAGGCCGACGAUACAGGGUGAUAGUCCCGUAGUUGACGACGUGUGUUCAGUGAAAUCGAGUAGGGCGGGACACGUGAUAUCCUGUCUGAAUAUGGGGGGACCAUCCUCCAAGGCUAAAUACUACUGACUGACCGAUAGUGAACCAGUACCGUGAGGGAAAGGCGAAAAGAACCCCUGUGAGGGGAGUGAAAUAGAACCUGAAACCGUGUACGUACAAGCAGUAGGAGCAGGCUUUGUCCUGUGACUGCGUACCUUUUGUAUAAUGGGUCAGCGACUUAUAUUCAGUGGCAAGGUUAACCAUCUAGGGGAGCCGUAGGGAAACCGAGUCUUAACUGGGCGUUCAGUCUCUGGAUAUAGACCCGAAACCAGGUGAUCUAGCCAUGGGCAGGUUGAAGGUUGAGUAACAUCAACUGGAGGACCGAACCGACUAAUGUUGAAAAAUUAGCGGAUGACUUGUGGCUAGGGGUGAAAGGCCAAUCAAACCUGGAGAUAGCUGGUUCUCCCCGAAAGCUAUUUAGGUAGCGCCUCGGACGAAUACUACUGGGGGUAGAGCACUGUUAAGGCUAGGGGGUCAUCCCGACUUACCAACCCUUUGCAAACUCCGAAUACCAGUAAGUACUAUCCGGGAGACACACGGCGGGUGCUAACGUCCGUCGUGGAGAGGGAAACAACCCAGACCGCCAGCUAAGGUCCCAAAUUACUACUAAGUGGGAAACGAUGUGGGAAGGCUCAGACAGCCAGGAUGUUGGCUUAGAAGCAGCCAUCAUUUAAAGAAAGCGUAAUAGCUCACUGGUCGAGUCGGCCUGCGCGGAAGAUGUAACGGGGCUAAGUAGUAAACCGAAGCUGCGGCAAUGCACUUUAGUGCAUUGGGUAGGGGAGCGUUCUGUAAGCGGUUGAAGGUGUGUGGUAACGCAUGCUGGACGUAUCAGAAGUGCGAAUGCUGACAUGAGUAACGAUAAAGGGGGUGAAAAACCUCCUCGCCGGAAGACCAAGGGUUCCUGUCCAACGUUAAUCGGGGCAGGGUAAGUCGACCCCUAAGGCGAGGCCGAAAGGCGUAGUCGAUGGGAAACGGGUUAAUAUUCCCGUACUUCUUACAAUUGCGAUGGGGGGACGGAGAAGGCUAGGUGGGCCUGGCGACGGUUGUCCAGGUUCAAGUGCGUAGGCUGAAGAGUUAGGUAAAUCCGGCUCUUUCUAAGGCUGAGACACGACGUCGAGCAUCUACGGAUGUGAAGUCAUUGAUGCCAUGCUUCCAGGAAAAGCCUCUAAGCUUCAGAUUGUAAGGAAUCGUACCCCAAACCGACACAGGUGGUCGGGUAGAGAAUACCAAGGCGCUUGAGAGAACUCGGGUGAAGGAACUAGGCAAAAUGGUACCGUAACUUCGGGAGAAGGUACGCUCUCGACGGUGAAGUCCCUCGCGGAUGGAGCUAUUGAGAGUCGCAGAUACCAGGUGGCUGCAACUGUUUAUUAAAAACACAGCACUGUGCAAAAUCGCAAGAUGACGUAUACGGUGUGACGCCUGCCCGGUGCCGGAAGGUUAAUUGAUGGGGUUAGACUUCGGUCGAAGCUCUUGAUCGAAGCCCCGGUAAACGGCGGCCGUAACUAUAACGGUCCUAAGGUAGCGAAAUUCCUUGUCGGGUAAGUUCCGACCUGCACGAAUGGCGUAAUGAUGGCCACGCUGUCUCCACCCGAGACUCAGUGAAAUUGAAAUCGCUGUGAAGAUGCAGUGUACCCGCGGCUAGACGGAAAGACCCCGUGAACCUUUACUACAGCUUGGCACUGAACAUUGACCCUACAUGUGUAGGAUAGGUGGGAGGCUUUGAAG